CACUCGGUAGCACAUGGUGUGCGUCUCCACCUCAUAGUAUGGCCUUUGUUCCACCAUCGUGAAGAUUAUGCAGAAGGCCCCCGUUCGAUUCGGGGCUGGGUGA